GUUCACUGAAGUUGGCUGGAAUCGAAGAUGGAUAGAAACAGUCAAUCUCAACGUAGAAGUCUAUACAAAGGAAUGGCAAGUGACUGACAUCCAGUUCUCUGAUUGGAGUAGACCUGGCCAUUUCAAGUUCAUGAAGAAUUUAUCUGGGUCCAGCACAGCGUGCCUUGAAAUGAAUCUGCACUAGAGAAAUACAAACUUACGUCCACACAGAAGCUGACACUUGUACAGGAGCUCGAUUUGUCACAGCUUCAAACUGGAAACAACCCAGUAUCUUUCAGUGAUUGACAUUAUAAUGUAAUUCAUCAAUUAAAAAAAUAAAACUUCCAAAUUUUUGAUACACUCAA